CUGAAACUUAAGGGAAAAGCCUUGAAUGUGAAGCCCGGUGGACUGAAGAAAAAAAAGAAACAGAAGAAACACCAAGAUCAAGUUUCUCAAGUCUUGGAAAAUGAGCUUUCUGCAGAGGGAAACACAGAAGAGCUAACCGUCACUGGUGAGGAUGUUGUAAAUGACAAUGGCAAAUUGAGUGAAGAAGGGAAUGCGGCUCCUUAUGAUGAUCAUCUGACACCUGCAGAGAGACGAUACAUAGAGCAGAGAGAGAAAAUUGAUCUCCAUAGGAUGGCCAAA
rnacentral:misc_RNA from 1 species